rnacentral:rRNA from 1 species
AUUGAACGCUGGCGGCAGGCCUAACACAUGCAAGUCGAGCGAGUGGCGGACGGGUGAGUAAUGUCUGGGAAACUGCCUGAUGGAGGGGGAUAACUACUGGAAACGGUAGCUAAUACCGCAUACCAUCAGCUGAGCCCAGAUGGGAGUAGCUAGUUGGUGGGGUAACGGCUCACCAAGGCGACGAUCCCUAGCUGGUCUGAGAGGAUGACCAGCGACACUGGAACUGAGACACGGCCCAGACGCCUACGGGAGGCAGCAGUGGGGAAUAUUGCACAAUGGGCGCAAGCCUGAUGCAGCCAUGCCGCGUGUAUGAAGAAGGCCUUCGGGUUGUAAAGUACUUUCAGCGGGGAGGCGUUACCCGCAGAAGAAGCACCGGCUAACUCCGUGCCAGCAGCCGCGGUAAUUC